rnacentral:rRNA from 1 species
GACGAACGCUGGCGGCGUGCUUAACACAUGCAAGUCGAACGGAAAGGCCCUGCUUUUGUGGGGUGCUCGAGUGGCGAACGGGUGAGUAACACGUGAGUAACCUGCCCUUGACUUUGGGAUAACUUCAGGAAACUGGGGCUAAUACCGGAUAGGAUCUCCUGCUGCAUGGUGGGGGUUGGAAAGUUUCGGCGGUUGGGGAUGGACUCGCGGCUUAUCAGCUUGUUGGUGGGGUAGUGGCUUACCAAGGCUUUGACGGGUAGCCGGCCUGGGAGGGUGGCCGGCCACAUUAGGACUGAGAUACGGCCCAGACUCCUACGGGAGGCAGCAGUGGGGAAUAUUGCACAAUGGGCGGAAGCCUGAUGCAGCAACGCCGCGUGCGGGAUGACGGCCUUCGGGUUGUAAACCGCUUUCGCCUGUGACGAAGCGUGAGUGACGGUAAUGGGUAAAGAAGCACCGGCUAACUACGUG